rnacentral:lncRNA from 1 species
AUCAAGCAAUCAAUUCAAAUUCAAGAUCAAGCCUAAAAUCUAGCAAAUAAUCAAGCUAAAAUUAAUCUCAAGAAAAGCUCUAUCAAAUCCAAAUGCGCCUAAAGGAAGGAAAGGAGCACGGCCCAGAAACAGCCAAACGGUCUUCUGUUCGGCGGUCUUGCGCUGGUUCAAAGGCAAUAAUUUUUUUUCAAAAGAAGAGAGCAGUCCACACACAAC